UACGUAGGCAGCAAGCGUUGUUCGGAGUUACUGGGCGUAAAGGGUGUGUAGGCGGUUCCCUAAGUUUGGUGUGAAAUCUCCCGGCUCAACUGGGAGGGUGCGCCGAAAACUGGGGGGGCUAGAGUACUGGAUGGGAGAGUGGAAUUCCUGGUGUAGCGGUGAAAUGCGUAGAUAUCAGGAGGAACACCUGUGGUGUAGACGGCUCUCUGGACAGUAACUGACGCUGAGACACGAAAGCGUGGGUAGCAAACAGG
rnacentral:rRNA from 1 species